GAUGAACGCUGGCGGCGUGCCUAAUACAUGCAAGUCGAGCGAACAGACGAGGAGCUUGCUCCUCUGACGUUAGCGGCGGACGGGUGAGUAACACGUGGAUAACCUACCUAUAAGACUGGGAUAACUUCGGGAAACCGGAGCUAAUACCGGAUAAUAUAUUGAACCGCAUGGUUCAAUAGUGAAAGACGGUUUUGCUGUCACUUAUAGAUGGAUCCGCGCCGCAUUAGCUAGUUGGUAAGGUAACGGCUUACCAAGGCGACGAUGCGUAGCCGACCUGAGAGGGUGAUCGGUCACACUGGAACUGAGACACGGUCCAGACUCCUACGGGAGGCAGCAGUAGGGAAUCUUCCGCAAUGGGCGAAAGCCUGACGGAGCAACGCCGCGUGAGUGAUGAAGGUCUUCGGAUCGUAAAACUCUGUUAUUAGGGAAGAACAAAUGUGUAAGUAACUAUGCACGUCUUGACGGUACCUAAUCAGAAAGCCACGGCUAACUACGUG
rnacentral:rRNA from 1 species